rnacentral:rRNA from 1 species
UUUUUGGAGAGUUUGAUCCUGGCUCAGGACGAACGCUGGCGGCGUGCUUAACACAUGCAAGUCGAACGGAGUUAGUUAGGAAGCUUGCUUUUUAACUGACUUAGUGGCGGACGGGUGAGUAACGCGUGGGCAAUCUGCCCGUAAGAGGGGGAUAACACCUAGAAAUGGGUGCUAAUACCGCAUAACAUCGUGGUGUU